GGCUUACCAUGCAGUCGAGGGGCAGCAUUUUAGUUUGCUUGCAAACUAAAGAUGGCGACCGGCGCACGGGCUGAGCUAACACGCUAUCCAACCUGCCGAUAACUCGGGGAUAGCCUUUCGAAAGAAAGAUUAAUAUCCGAUAGUAUAUUAAAACCGCAUGGUUUUACUAUUAAAGAAUUUCGGUUAUCGAUGGGGAUGCGUUCCAUUAGUUUGUUGGCGGGGUAACGGCCCACCAAGACUACGAUGGAUAGGGGUUCUGAGAGGAAGGUCCCCCACAUUGGAACUGAGACACGGUCCAAACUCNUACGGGAGGCAGCAGUGAGGAAUAUUGGUCAAUGGACGAGAGUCUGAACCAGCCAAGUAGCGUGAAGGAUGACUGCCCUAUGGGUUGUAAACUUCUUUUAUAUGGGAAUAAAGUAUUCCACGGGUGGGAUUUUGUAUGUACCAUAUGAAUAAGGAUCGGCUAACUCCGUGCCAGCAGCCGGCGGUAAUACGGAGGAUCCGAGCGUUAUCCGGAUUUUAUUGGGUUUAAAGGGAGCGUAGGUGGAUUGUUAAGUCAGUUGUGAAAGUUUGCGGCUCAACCGUAAAAUUGCAGUUGAAACUGGCAGUCUUGAGUACAGUAGAGGUGGGCGGAAUUCGUGGUGUAGCGGUGAAAUGCUUAGAUAUCACGAAGAACUCCGAUUGCGAAGGCAGCUCACUAGACUGCAACUGACACUGAUGCUCGAAAGUGUGGGUAUCAAACAGGAUUAGAUACCCUGGUAGUCCACACAGUAAACGAUGAAUACUCGCUGUUUGCGAUAUACAGUAAGCGGCCAAGCGAAAGCAUUAAGUAUUCCACCUGGGGAGUACGCCGGCAACGGUGAAACUCAAAGGAAUUGACGGGGGCCCCGCACAAGCGGAGGAACAUGUGGUUUAAUUCGAUGAUACGCGAGGAACCUUACCCGGGCUUAAAUUGCAUUUGAAUAAUCUGGAAACAGGUUAGCCGCAAGGCAAAUGUGAAGGUGCUGCAUGGUUGUCGUCAGCUCGUGCCGUGAGGUGUCGGCUUAAGUGCCAUAACGAGCGCAACCCUUAUCUUUAGUUACUAACAGGUCAUGCUGAGGACUCUAGAGAGACUGCCGUCGUAAGAUGUGAGGAAGGUGGGGAUGACGUCAAAUCAGCACGGCCCUUACGUCCGGGGCUACACACGUGUUACAAUGGGGGGUACAGAAGGCAGCUACCUGGCGACAGGAUGCUAAUCCCAAAAACCUCUCUCAGUUCGGAUCGAAGUCUGCAACCCGACUUCGUGAAGCUGGAUUCGCUAGUAAUCGCGCAUCAGCCAUGGCGCGGUGAAUACGUUCCCGGGCCUUGUACACACCGCCCGUCAAGCCAUGAAAGCCGGGGGUACCUGAAGUACGAACCGCAAGGAGCUCCNGGNA
rnacentral:rRNA from 1 species